rnacentral:rRNA from 1 species
UACGUAGGGUGCAAGCGUUGUCCGGAUUUAUUGGGUUUAAAGGGUGCGUAGGCGGUUUAUUAAGUCAGUGGUGAAAGACGAUCGCUCAACGAUUGCAGUGCCAUUGAUACUGGUAAACUUGAGUAGUGCAGAGGUAGCUGGAAUUGAUCGUGUAGCGGUGAAAUGCAUAGAUAUGAUCAAGAACGCCAAUUGCGAAGGCAGGUUACUGGACACUCACUGACGCUGAGGCACGAAAGUGUGGGGAUCAAACAGG